rnacentral:lncRNA from 1 species
AGAUAGAAUUAAAUUCCUGAGAAGUAAAUUCCAUGAGAGUCAAAUCUAGAAUUUUCUAUUGGAGUCAUGAAAUAUGGGAACUUGGAAAAAAGAUCAGACAUGACAAUGAAUUUCAAAGUUUUUUUAAAUUUAAACAUAAAACCUGGAGACAAUUUUUUUGAAAAAACUAAAACAAUUAUCUUUCAGUUGCUACUACUCUCAGUUACAGUAUUUCUAUAAGACAUGAGCUCAUUCACUCAACAUAUAUUAUAUAAUGACAGGUCUUUGCUUCCAGGGUUGAUUUAAAUAUAGUGUAGCCCAAAUAGUUUUCACUUGGAGAGCCUCUCUUCUACAUUAUGUUAAAAAAGUAAAAUAAUCCUACUUCCCUCAGAAAACAUAAUUCAUUAAUGAACAACACAUGGCCAAGAUUUUGUAAUUAUAGUUUAUGAUAUUUGGCAACAAGUAACUUUUGAUUUAUGAAUUGGUUACAAUUUCUCAGCAGCCACCAUGCAUGCACAUCCUCAUUAAUAGACUGAGAAAAUACAACUUAAAGAUGUUUUUAAAUGUAACGAAAUGUUUACAGAUACUAAAUGUAUUAAAUAUGGAAACUGACAACAUUGGGAAUUUAAUUAAACACUUACUUAUUUCUAUUCUACAGAUCUUACUUUGUAUUUCUAGAUCCAUAAAUUUCAUUUCAAAUCUCAAUUAUUUUUAUGAUCAUGAAAAGCCUUGAUCAGACAUUGACUGUGCUUAAUGAAUUAAUUGACCAUACCCUACUUUUCUCCUUCAAAUCUUGUUUUGAGAAUUAACCAAUCCUUCUAUUUUUUUUUAAGGUUGGGAACAGUCAGCAAAGAGGCUAUCUAUAUUAUACAGGAAGAAAUCAACCAACUCAGUAAAUUUUAAUAGAGAAUGUGUUAUUUUGAUUCCAUAACACAUGUUAAGAACAAUCAGCAAGGAGGCUAUAUGUAUUAUACAAGAGAAUGUACUAUUUUGAGUCCAUAACAGCAAGCAUAAAGGUAUUUGUCAUUUUGAGGAAUAUAGGCAUGCAGCAGUACAACUGUUUUGAUUUUCUUUUGAGACAGAGUAGCACCAUUCAGGCCAGAGUCCCAGAUGGCCUGAAACUCACUAUGUGGACCUGGCUGGCCUCAAAAUCACAGAGAUUCACCUACCUCUGCCGGUGCUGGAAUUAGAGGUGUGACCACCAUCCUCAGCUUAGACUGUUUUCUGUUGCCAUAACAAAAUAUUUGAGACCCUAUCCUUCUAAAGAAUAGAAGUUGGCUUUUUUGGAGAGGGUGUUUUUUGUUUGUUUGUUUGUUUGUGUUUUUUUUUUUUUUUUAUUAAAGGCUCUAGGAACCGAUCUAUUUAGGAAGAGGUUGUUCGCUCCUGCUUGGGAUUUGCUGUGGACCCACUGGAUCACAUCAUAAUACAGAAGAAAACAUCAUAAGAUGAGAGAAGACAAUCAUGCGAGAAGGAAUCCACAUUUACAUUUAGUAAUGGGCUAUUACUACUGUAAUCACCUAUACACAGAUACAAAAUGGCUUACCCUACUGAUGAGAUCAGACCUCUCAUAGCCUAGUCACCUGUAAAAAGUCCCACCUAUCAAACCUAAGCAGGUAACUGGGGACCAAGUUACCAGAACAUAAAUUUCAGAAGUCUCUCCAACCUAGAGCAAAAUGCAAAUAUAUUCUCAAAUAACUGAAACCCGGUUUUAUUCUUGAACACUAAUAUGACUCUAUGUAGUAUGAAUUUUGUUUCUCUCUCCCAUUUCCACAAAUUGUAUCCAACUUUCUUACAGGGAAACAGGUUUAUCUGUUUCCAUUCAAGAAUUACUUGUGCAAUAAACAUCUCAUUUAUUUGCUAUUACU